UGAGGAGAUUUUCUGGGAGGCGUGAAUCUCAUCUGCAAGAAGAUGAAUCCACUGUGGUUCUUCCUCUUUCUGCUGUCAGCUCCCAGAGGUGUCCUGUCCCAGGUGCAGCUGCAGGAGUCGGGGCCCAGCCUGGUGAAGCCCUCGCAGACCCUCUCCCUCACCUGCACGGUCUCCGGAUUCUCAAUUACCAGCAAUGCUGUAUGCUGGGUCCGCCAGGCUCCAGGAAAGGGGCUGGAGUGUCUUGGUGCUAUGGCUAGCGGUGGAAGCGCAUAUUAUAACUCAGCCCUGAAGUCCCGGCUCAGCAUCACCAGGGACACCUCCAAGAGCCAAGUCUCCAUGUCACUGAGCAGCGUGACCCCCGAGGACACGGCCGUCUAUUUCUGUGCAAGAUGCACAGUGAUGCGAAGUCCCUGUGAGCCCAGACACAAACCUCCCUGCACCAGAGCUCAUCCCCAGCAGGGGGUGCUCAGGACCCACUGA